UGCGCUCCUCUCAGUCCCUGAGACCCUAACUUGUGAUGUUUACCGUUUAAAUCCACGGGUUAGGCUCUUGGGAGCUG
ensembl:miRNA microRNA 125b-1